rnacentral:tRNA from 1 species
GCCGAAGUGGCGAAAUGGCAGACGCGCUACGUUCAGGGCGUAGUGGAGGUAACUCCAUGUGGGUUCAACUCCCACCUUCGGCACCA